rnacentral:lncRNA from 1 species
UGUCUCACUCAGCUGGGCCCCGGGGACUUGGUUCACGCUCGCAGGCUCUGAACAAGAAGGCACCGUGUCCCCACUGUGGCCAGUGACCAGAGUCCCUGGCCACAUGGUGUGGCCGGAGGCAAAUGACGCUUGCCACCACCGAAGGUGGCAUCACAGAGGAGCAAGGCUGUCCGCUCAGGUUCAGGGUUAAGGAAGCCGCAUCGCCUUCAGCCUGUGUCCUGGGGGGAGCAGAGGGUUAUUUUCUGGAGACGGCCUUGGGCGGAGUUCCGUCCAAGUCUGACUGUAGGCCUUGUUAGAGGCCUGUGGCUAGUUUAGAACAAUCUAGAGAUCAUGGAGACAGUUUAGAGGGGAGAAGUGAGAAUUGUUAGAAUCUGAAACUGGGUUGUGGGAAAUGGAGUUAGUCCCUGAGGAGCUCUCGGCCUGGCGAGGUCCCAGGGAGGACCGCCCAUCCUACAAAUGGGUACAGCGCAAAGACGCCCAGAAACGGCUUGCUGCGAGUUGCAUGUGGGGUGUGGCUGACCUGCCCUCCCGGGGUUGACAUGAGCGUUCACUGCCUGUGCAAGUGUGAACCUCCGCUGUUCACCCACCUGCUCCUCCAGAGGAUAGAUGGGGAGGGGGAGGCAGGAGAGGCUCCCCACUGCCUGGUCCGUGGCCGCAGGGGCCGCCCAACGGCGCCUGCCGUUUUUGCGCCUUUCCCAAUUCUGACUCUCCCUUCCAGUCAGGACAGUUCAACGAGGACAUGAUCCCCACUGUGGGCUUCAACAUGCGCAAGAUCACCAAGGGAAACGUGACCAUCAAGGUGCGCGCGGGCCGGGGGCCGGCAGUGGGCAGAAAGGAGCCCGGG